CUCUAUGGUAGCGUUUAGUGGGCAACGUUUAAUCGUUGGCUGUGUUCCACAAGUCGCAGUUUUCCACCCCGCUAAACGCUAUCGCCAAG
rnacentral:antisense_RNA from 1 species